rnacentral:snRNA from 1 species
AAAAAGGGCGCGUUGCGAGGUGUGUGUCACUUGUGGGCACGCUCCAUGCGACAAGGGCUCUAUUGGCCCUUGCGGUAUGGCAAUCAAGACAUAUCGAGCGCAUAAUUUUUGGCAUAAAUGGAUGGUUCACUGUUUCAGGCUUCGCUCAAGCCGGAGCCAUCCUU